AAAGCAUACAUUCGCAAUCCGCGGCUGUACGUCAAACGCUUCGUGCCCAAUCCGGCAUAUUUGUCUGCGCUUACUGCCCAAUUAUCAACAAAAACUGUGAAAUACCCUAUUGAGCGAGUGUGUAUGCGUGUUAAUGAUAUUGGAACGAUUCAGAGCACGGUGCUGGCUAAUUUACAUAUUGGAGCAGUACCCAAAUGUGUUUUUGUGGGAUUUGUGAAAAGCUCGAGUUUUCACGGGCUGCGCCGAGGUAAUCCAUUUAACUUUGAACAUUUCAACCUCAACUAUAUAAGUGUCGAAGUCGACGGACAAUCGUACCCCGCACAAGCCUACCGACCAAAUUUCGCCACGGGUGAUUAUUUGCAAUCAUAUGACGGUCUGUUGGAGACGCUUGGCCGCUUGCACGCACCGGACGAGGCGCUGCCUUUCGACCGUAAAGCAUUUGCGGAAGGAUUUGCUAUUUGGGGAUUCGAUCUGACACCUUCACGGACAGGCCGGGGACCGAUGAGCACCGUGCGCCAGGGAAAUCUAUCAAUCCGCCUGCAGUUCGCCGCCCAAUUAACUGAACCAAUUAUGGCCAUUACGAUGAUGGUGUGGGAUAAUAUUAUUGAAGUCAAUUCACAUCGCCAGCUCAUUGCGGAUUUUACGGCGUAAAAACCUAACAUUGGCACUACAAUGGACACUGCUGAGAUUGAUUACGUGCUACGUUCAAGUACCGUGACGAGAGACGCUUUCAUUGGUGUAUUCGCUGCGGAUAUGCUACCAUCGUCGCUGCCAGCCAAGCUACCAUGGGCAUGCGUUGUCAAUACUGACGAAGCUGCGAAACCUGGCUCGCAUUGGCUGGCGUUCUACCAGGCUACACCAGGACAGCUGGAAUAUUUUGACUCUUACGGUCAUGAACCGCAUUACUACGGUCACCACAUUGAAACUUUUUGCAAGAACGCGGGCAUAGUUAUUUCACAAGCGCAUCGUUUACAAAUGGAAUGGAGUACCGUUUGUGGACAGUACUGCUGCUUUUUUAUUCUAAAACGAUGCUCCGGCGAGUCAUUCACUUCUCUUAUUCAUUUAUUUACCAAUAGCAAAGCUUCGAAUGAUCGAAUGGUUUGUGCUUAUGUUAAUUAUUAUUUUAAUUUAAAAACUGUUGUCCGUGAUAACUCUUUGCUUAUUCAGUCUGUUUUCCGCCAGAUAAUGCAAUAAAGUCACGUCAUCAACGCCAGAUUUUUCACGUACUGUUUGUAUAUGAUUAAAAAUAAUUUGUUGUGCACCAAAAUAUUUUGCGGUCCAGCGUGACUUCGCGCUGCAUCUGUUUUGAUGCACAUAAAAUACCCCAGUCAGUGGACAAUUUUCAGAUGCAACACAGUUUUCAUCUCAUUACGCAGCGGAAAUUAACGAUUUCUAAAGCUGUUCUGUUCAAAAAUGGUUUACCAUAUUGUUGUAGACAUUAAGUGGUAUGCGCUUAAUGGGAAGCCAAUUAUUACGUCACUUGCAAUAAGUUCUGUCGAAUUUUAUUGCCUUUAUUAUACCACAUUUGCGCUAGCGCCAAGCAAUUACAUUGUAAAUAAAUAUGGCGUUUGUUCUUCGGAUAUUGAUGCUGUGUUCGAUAAAGCUUUCAGAGUUAGAACAGCAGAUAAGUCGAGCGUUUAAAAAUUAUCUUCGCUACGUUGACGAUCCUGCCGAUGUCGUUUUCUAUGCAAAAGGGGGGCAAAAGUGUCUUAUUCUUCAAGAACUGAUUAAAUCUGAUGUCAUUAAUCUUGAUACACUGGGCUGUCCGCGUUUUGCCGAUCUAUGCAACGACAAGUGUUACAGUCCUAAUAAAGCUCAAGCUUACUCUAACUGGAUGCUGGACACCAUUUAAAAAGUCGUACGAAAUGCCUGCUUUGCCGUAUGCCGAUUCCAGAAGAAAAGGUCACGUUCGACAGCAACGACGCUGCCGCAGAUCAAGACCAGAUAAGAAUUCUUACUGGGAUGACCGAGGUAACAGACGCUGCAUCCGCUGUGGUGCUGUAUUUCCCACCGAUACCGAUUGCAGUGAAGAAAGUACUCACGCGGAUAUUAGCACGCCAAGAAUUUCUAGUGCAUGAAUCAGUGUAAACUGCUUAACUAACUGUACCCCGUUACAAAAUGCUGUGCGGGAAUUUGUUCUCGUUCAAGUCAGUUAUAUAAAGUGGCAUCUUUGUCGCUAGCAACUUUCUUUGGCCAUAUUUUGCCUUCAUCAUGGCGCAAACCCUGACUUAUCCGCAGAAUUGUUUGACCCCGGCACCAGUGCUGAAACUGACUUUGCUGAUAGUGCUCUUUUCAAUCAUAAUUAUGCGCUUCUCGAUCACAAUUAUUUUAUACCUCCGGCUCCGGUCGAUGUGCCAGUACAGAACCUAGAAGAACUUGAUCCGGAUUUGUAUGAUAUUAAAGAUUAUUAUGAGUUGGAAAAAACGGGAGCUAAAUAUUCACAGAAAUUUUCAGUGUCGUUUGAAACCUAUAAAUGUGUGAUACACGGUCUGGAUAAUUUUUCAUUUAAAUACGCGAUUAAAACCAUAACACUUUUAUUGAAAGACAUUCUGGAUACCGUGAUUUCGGCAAUUCCAGCC